UCAGAUUGCUGUCCUUGAGGAAUUUAUUUCCAAAAAGCAGUCUUCAUCUUCAUUCAACUGAAGGUGGGUUUGGACUCGCCCAAGUGAGGAUGUGUCGGUCCUGAACACAGCUCUUUCCAAGGGUUGAACACCGGAUGAGACAUUCUUUCUCUGGAUCUUCUGCACACAUAUAAUUGCAGAUGCAUGGGCCCCCUAAGCAAAAGAAGACCCAGAUUUCCUCCUUCUUCUCCUGCCACCCAGUGGAUUUUCCUCCAACCAGAAGUCAUGAAAAUGCAUCUGGAUCCCAGAGAGGAGCUGAUGUUUGGUAGGCAAGAAAAGAGAUGUUUUCCUCAACUGGUCUUGGAGGAAGAAAACGACACCCUUAUUUAAUCCCAUUAAGGCAAGACCCCAAGUCAGGAAUUGAGAAAGCCCCCUUCUAAAUGUGCAGAGGCAUUAUCAGCCUUGAGCUUAAAUAAACGCUUGUGUCUCUUCCCUGACCCACCUCCCUCAGAGCUGCUCACUUCAUUCAUCACUGUCACCUUUUCAAAGUGACUGCCAUGACAGUUCACGAUCAUUAACUAGUAAUGGUGUGCUUUCUAUUAAAGUAGAGGCACAUCAAACACAGGGAUUCCACCCUUCUCAGGGCAAAGGCUUGAAGAGGAGGGGCUGGGGAUGCAGGGAGAGAAGAAGGGAGAUCCAAACUUUUGGAGGAUGGCAGAAACAAUUUGAAAACUGACCCAGAAAAAAACCCUGAUCAAAAUGCCACCAUGUACCUUAGGAUGGGUGCUUGUCCCAUUCUAUUUUUCUAAGAUCAUGUUAAUCAACAAACAUUUAUAUUUAUUAGUCCCUUACUCCAUAAGUGCCAGGCACUGUGCCAAGUACUCAGGAUACAAAGAAAAGUAAACAAGUUGUUACCCUCGAGGAAUUUAUUGCCUAAUGAGGAACUUUUGUUGUUCAGUCUUUCAGUCUUAUCCAACUCUUUGUGACCCCAUUUGGGGCUUUCUUGGCAAGAAUACUGGAGGGAAGGGGGCAGCUAGGUGACAACGGAGAGAGAGCCAAGCCUAGAGGCAGGAGGUCCAGAAUUCAUAUCUGACCUUAGAUACUUCCUAACUGUGAGACCUUGGGCAAGUCACUUAACUACCACUGCCUACCCCUUAUCAUUCUUCCACCUUGGAACCAACACUUAAUAUUGAAUGUAAGACAGAAGGUAAGAGUUUAGGCACAAAAAAAAAAAAAGAA